UUUAAACUCAAUAUGAUAACUUUAAGGUGGUUAGUUUUCUGAAAAUGGAAUGAGCUACCCCUUGAGAUAAUGAGUUUCCUGUUACUGAAGGUAUUCAAAUAGAAUCUAGACAACAAAUGACAAAGAAUGUGCUCUCCAAGCACUUUGUUUGUGUCUUGAACUUUAUACUCACAUUAUCAUCAUUUGCAGGCCAGUCUCCCUGUAUAGAUGUGACCUCUUCUGGGCUGAACCUAUCAUAUUUAUUUUUAACUUGGCUUAGGAGGUAACUAACAAAUGUUGGCUAGGUGAAUGGAUGAUGCAUGGGUGAGGUUGAGAGUUGGAGAGAGUGACCAUCAGAGCCCCUCCAACUCUGGGAUUCUCAAUUCUCUGAGCUAGGAUCUGAUCUAGGUUUAGUGAAUUUAAUUGAAAUCCAGAAAGAGGGUUGGGGUGGUAGCUCAUCCUAGGUAGGAAUCACAGUGCAGAAAGACCCAGGAGGAGAGCAAAUCUGAGGCAAGGAGCUGUGUUGGGUAAAGAGUAGGAGUUAGAGUUGGGGCAGAGUCUGGGUCUUAAUUCUCGAAGGUCUUUAAUUUCAAAGAUGUUGGACUUCCUCAUUCUGCACUUGGGACCCAGACUGACACUUGACUGAACUGUGAUAAAAGAAGACAAAAUUGCCCUAACAAUGAUAUGCAUCAAGGCUGAUUGUCAAUAACUGGACGUGAUUGCCUAAAUGUGGGUAUGAAGAGUUAAAACGCAGAGUUAGGCGAUGGCCACAAGGAUGAAAAGGAGGGAACAGAUAGGAAGAGAUGUUACUAAAAUAUUAGGACUUGGCUGGCAAGGCUAAAAAAAGGCAAGAUAAGAAGAGAGGACAUUCUGUAAUGAAUAAGGGUGACUGCACCUUCAAACUGUCCCCGGCCCCUCCUGCUGGGUAAGCUGUAAGUAUCUGGAGGAGAACACCCUUUGAGGUCCUCGGGGGACUUGCAAGCAGAGCAGGGGGUAUAGGGAGAGCAUAAUGGAGAUGAGAAUCUGUUCACACUCUUUCCUGAUGUCCCUGUGUUUUCAAAGAGAAAACUAUGUCAAAACCAGGGAAGGGGAGGGGGAGGUGGAAAAGGACAUUUUCCAAGAACUCCAGGCCUGCAGUUCUUAGUGCGACACCACCUGUUGUUUACAAAAAUGCAUCUGCCACCCUCCUGCAUUUCCCUCCAUGGACAACAGGUAUGUAAACCAGGACAGGGUGGUGUCUUACCUGAGAAACCUCUCACUUGGGAGCAGGAAGCAAAAACCUCAGCAAAAUGAAAUCUUAUCCCAAAUUAAA